GACGAACGCUGGCGGCGUGCCUAAUACAUGCAAGUAGAACGCUGAAGGAGGAGCUUGCUUCUCUGGAUGAGUUGCGAACGGGUGAGUAACGCGUAGGUAACCUGCCUGGUAGCGGGGGAUAACUAUUGGAAACGAUAGCUAAUACCGCAUAAGAGUAGAUGUUGCAUGACAUUUGCUUAAAAGGUGCAAUUGCAUCACUACCAGAUGGACCUGCGUUGUAUUAGCUAGUUGGUGGGGUAACGGCUCACCAAGGCGACGAUACAUAGCCGACCUGAGAGGGUGAUCGGCCACACUGGGACUGAGACACGGCCCAGACUCCUACGGGAGGCAGCAGUAGGGAAUCUUCGGCAAUGGACGGAAGUCUGACCGAGCGACGCCGCGUGAGUGAAGAAGGUUUUCGGAUCGUAAAGCUCUGUUGUAAGAGAAGAACGAGUGUGAGAGUGGAAAGUUCACACUGUGACGGUAUCUUACCAGAAAGGGACGGCUAACUACGUG
rnacentral:rRNA from 1 species